rnacentral:rRNA from 1 species
CCUACGGGCGGCAGCAGUGAGGAAUAUUGGUCAAUGGCCGUAAGGCUGAACCAGCCAAGUAGCGUGAGGGAAGACUGCCCUAUGGGUUGUAAACCUCUUUUAUGCGGGGAUAAAGGUGUCCACGUGUGGAUGUUUGCAGGUACCGCAUGAAUAAGGACUGGCUAAUUCCGUGCCAGCAGCCGCGGUAAUACGGUAGGUCCGGGCGUUUUCCGGAUUUAUUGGGGUUAAAGGGAGCGUAGGCCGGUCUUUAAGCGUGCCGGGAAAUUUUGUGGCUCAACCAUGGGAGUGCGGCGCGAACUGGAGACCUUGAGUGCGCGGAAGGCAGGCGGAAUUCGUGGUGUAGCGGUGAAAUGCUUAGAUAUCACGAAGAACCCCGAUUGCGAAGGCAGCCUGCCGCAGCGUUACUGACGCUGAAGCUCGAAAGCGCGGGUAUCGAACAGGAUUAGAUACCCCAGUAGUC